rnacentral:rRNA from 1 species
CCUCGGAGAGUUUGAUCCUGGCUCAGGACGAACGCUGGCGGCGUGCCUAAUACAUGCAAGUCGAGCGGACAGAAGGGAGCUUGCUCCCGGAUGUUAGCGGCGGACGGGUGAGUAACACGUGGGUAACCUGCCUGUAAGACUGGGAUAACUCCGGGAAACCGGAGCUAAUACCGGAUAGUUCCUUGAACCGCAUGGUUCAAGGAUGAAAGACGGUUUCGGCUGUCACUUA